rnacentral:rRNA from 1 species
GAUUAAGCCAUGCAUGUACUAAGUAUAAAUAGUAUACAGUAGAAACUGCGAAUGGCUACAAUUAAAACUAGUUAUAGUUUAUUUGAUAAUUGAAUUCUACAUGGAUAACCGUAGUAAUUCUAGAGCUAAUACAUGCUAGUAAAACCUGACUUUUCGGAAAGGUUGUAUUUAUUAGAUAUCAAACCAAUAAUCUUUCGGGAUUAUUGUGAUGAUUCAUAAUAACUGAUCGGAUCAAGGUGUACCUUGAUAGAUCAUUCAAGUUUCUGCCCUAUCAGCUUUCGAUGGUAGUGUAUUGGACUACCAUGGCAGUCACGGGUAAUGGAGAAUUAGGGUUCGAUUCCGGAGAGGGAGCCUGAGAAACGGCUACCACAUCUACGGAAGGCAGCAGGCGCGUAAAUUACCCAAUCCUGAUUCAGGGAGG